CUACUGAUGAUUACAGGAAGAUGGUCAUCAAAAUUAUUCAGAGUUUCUGUUUAUGACUCUGUCCACUGUUGUGGUCCUACUGAAGCUGUGAUCCGAUUGGUCCUCUCUGCUCUGGUGGGCGUGGCUACUGUCAUCAUUCUGGUUUAUGACAUCAGAUCCAGAAGAGCUGAACGAGAUCAAGCACGUAUUCACACAUCAGAAAGUAUUGAAAUCUAAAGCAGAACGCUGAACUUCAAAGGUUCUUCAAGUGUGUUUUUUUGUUCUUCUAGUGUUUUUUUUCAUUAUAAAUACUGAAUAAUUGA